rnacentral:rRNA from 1 species
GUCCACGCCGUAACGUUGGGCGCUAGGUGUGGGGCUCUUUCCACGAGUUCCGUGCCGCAGCAAACGCAUUAAGCGCCCCGCCUGGGGAGUACGGCCGCAAGGCUAAACUCAAAGGAAUUGACGGGGGCCCGCACAAGCGGCGGAGCAUGCGGAUUAAUUCGAUGCAACGCGAAGAACCUUACCAAGGCUUGACAUGGGCAGAAAUCCGGCAGAGAUGUCGGGUCCGUAAGGGCUGCUCACAGGUGGUGCAUGGUUGUCGU